GUGUCAGCAGCCGCGGUAAUACGAAGGGGGCAAGCGUUGUUCGGAUUUACUGGGCGUAAAGCGUACGUAGGCGGAUGAUUAAGUCAGGGGUGAAAUCCCGAGGCUCAACCUCGGAACUGCCUUUGAUACUGGUCAUCUUGAGUCCGGGAGAGGUGAGUGGAACUCCUAGUGUAGAGGUGAAAUUCGUAGAUAUUAGGAAGAACACCAGUGGCGAAGGCGGCUCACUGGCCCGGAACUGACGCUGAGGUACGAAAGCGUGGGGAGCAAACAGGAUUAGAUACCCUAGUAGUCC
rnacentral:rRNA from 1 species